GAUGAACGCUGGCGGCGUGCCUAACACAUGCAAGUCGAGCGAGAAGUAAAGAAAUGAAGCUUCGGUAGAUUUUCAUUAUGGAAAGCGGCGGACGGGUGAGUAACGCGUAGGCAACCUGCCCUGUACAGGGGGAUAGCUACCCGAAAAGGUGAUUAAUACCCCAUAAAGCAAGAGAUACACAUGUAUCACUUGUCAAAGAUUUAUCGGUAUGGGAUGGGCCUGCGUCUGAUUAGCUAGUUGGUAGGGUAACGGCUUACCAAGGCAACGAUCAGUAGCCGACCUGAGAGGGUGAUCGGCCACAUUGGAACUGAGACACGGUCCAAACUCCUACGGGAGGCAGCAGUGGGGAAUAUUGCACAAUGGGGGAAACCCUGAUGCAGCAACGCCGCGUGAAGGAAGAAGGCCUUCGGGUUGUAAACUUCUGUCCUAGGGGAAGAAACAAAUGACAUUACCCUUGGAGGAAGCCCCGGCUAACUACGUGCCAGCAGCCGCGGUAAUACGUAGGGGGCGAGCGUUAUCCGGAAUUAUUGGGCGUAAAGAGUGCGUAGGUGGCAUCUUAAGCGCAGGGUUUAAGGCAAUGGCUCAACCAUUGUUCGCCUUGCGAACUGGGGUGCUUGAGUGCAGGAGGGGAAAGUGGAAUUCCUAGUGUAGCGGUGAAAUGCGUAGAUAUUAGGAGGAACACCAGUGGCGAAGGCGACUUUCUGGACUGUUACUGACACUGAGGCACGAAAGCGUGGGGAGCAAACAGG
rnacentral:rRNA from 1 species